UUACCAGGUCUUGACAUCCUCUGACAACCCUAGAGAUAGGGCUUUCCCUUGGGGGACAGAGUGACAGGUGGCGCAUGGUUGUCGUCAGCUAGUGUCGUGAGAUGUUGGGUUAAGUCCCGUAACGAGCGCAACCCUUGAUCUUAGUUGCCAGCAUUUAGUUGGGCACUCUAAGGUGACUGCCGGUGACAAACCGGAGGAAGGUGGGGAUGACGUCAAAUCAUCAUGCCCCUUAUGACCUGGGCUACACACGUGCUACAAUGGACAGAACAAAGGGCUGCGAGACCGCAAGGUUUAGCCAAUCCCACAAAUCUGUUCUCAGUUCGGAUCGCAGUCUGCAACUCGACUGCGUGAAGCUGGAAUCGCUAGUAAUCGCGGAUCAGCAUGCCGCGGUGAAUACGUUCCCGGGCCUUGUACACACCGCCCGUCACACCACGAGAGUUUGCAACACCCGAAGUCGGUGAGGUAACCUUUAUGGAGCCAGCCGCCGAAGGUGGGGCAGA
rnacentral:rRNA from 1 species